GGCACUGAAGAAGGGUGAAGAACUCCACAUGAAUGCUUGUCUUUUCGUGCGAGAGGUCCAGCUCUGGCUAGUCGAUAAGCAGGAGGGGGUGACCAGUACUGACACGAAACCCGAGGUUCAGCAGAGCAAAGUAAAGGUGAACAAAGUGUGAGGAAAAACCCCUACACUGCAUCACACAAGAACGAGGAAAGGGGAAGGAGAGUUCACGGUGUGUUGAAGCCGUCCUGAUAUUGGCUGUUUGUGAAAAGGCAGCAGGGUCAUUUGAUUGUUCCAUUCCGAAAAGUGAAAGUGUGUGGGACUGCCCUGGUGAGAGGUGAC